rnacentral:rRNA from 1 species
GGCAGAUCCAUUUUCUGCCACCGAAUACAUUAGCAUGGGAUAAUGGAAUAGGACCCUGUCCUCCUAUUUUCAGUUGGUUUUGGCAGCGCGAGGACUAGGGUAAUGAUUAAUAGGGAUAGUUGGGGGCAUUAAUAUUUAAUUGUCAGAGGUGAAAUUCUUGGAUUUAUGAAAGAUUAACUUCUGCGAAAGCAUCUGCCAAGGAUGUUUUCAUUAAUCAAGAACGAAAGUUAGGGGAUCGAAGACGAUCAGAUACCGUCGUAGUCUUAACCAUAAACGAUGCCGACCAGCGAUUAGGAGACGUUGAAUACAAAACACCACCAUCGGUGCGGUCGUCCUUGGCGUCGGUUUCGGCCGGCGCGGGGGCGGCUUAGCCCGGUGGCACCGGUGAAUGACUCCCCUAGCAGCUUGUGAGA